GACGAACGCUGGCGGCGUGCUUAACACAUGCAAGUCGAACGGAAAGGCCCUGCGUGGUUGGGGUGCUGGGGUGGCGAACGGGUGAGGAACACGUGAGUAACCUGCCCUUGACUUUGGGAUAGGUUCAGGAAGCUGGGGCUAAUACCGGAUAGGAUCCCCUGCGGGAUUGUGGGGGUUGGAUAUUGGCGGCGGUUGGGGAUGGACUCGCGGCUUAUCGGCUUGGUGGUGGGGUAGUGGCAUACCAAGGCUUGGACGGGUAGCCGGCCUGAGAGGGGGACCGGCCACAUUGGGACUGAGAUACGGCCCAGACUCCUACGGGAGGCAGCAGUGGGGAAUAUUGCACAAUGGGCGGAAGCCUGAUGCAGCGACGCCGCGUGCGGGAUGACGGCCUUCGGGUUGUAAACCGCUUUCGGCUGUGACGAAGCGUAAGUGACGGUACCGGGAAAAGAAGCACCGGCUAACUACGUG
rnacentral:rRNA from 1 species